rnacentral:misc_RNA from 1 species
CAGAGUUCGUGCCCUCACGGGUAGAUCUCCCACCCUGUGUUAUUAUACCUUUGUUGCUUUGGCGGGCCGCCCUCGGCUACCGGCCCCGGCUGGUACGCGCCCGCCAGAGGACCCCAACCCUGUCUUACAGUGUCGUCCGAGUACUAUAUAAUAGUUA